rnacentral:rRNA from 1 species
AUAUCAAUAAGCGGAGGAGAAGAAAUUAACUAAGAUUGCCCUAGUAACGGCGAGUGAAGCGGCAAAAGCCCAAAAUGGUAAUCUUACACCUUCGGUGUACGAAUUGUAAUCUAUAGAGUAUUUGCUCAACGGGAGGUGGCGCAGAAGUGCCUUAGAAUGGGCCGCCAGAGAGGGUGACAGCCCCGUAUGUGGUGCUACUUCCUAACGAGUGGGUAUUCCAAGAGUCGGGUUGUUUUGUAUUGCAGCCCUAAGUGGGAGAUAAACUUCUUCUAAGGCUAAAUAUAUAUGGGAGACCGAUAGCGCACAAGUA